rnacentral:rRNA from 1 species
GAUAAACGCUGGCGGCGUGCCUAACACAUGCAAGUCGAACGUCCUUCCCUUCUUCGGAAGGGGGAGGCAGUGGCGGACGGGUGAGUAGCACAUGGGUGACCUGCCUUCCAGUGAGGAAUACCGGCGAGAAAUCGCCGACAAUGCCGCAUACGCUCACGAGAUCAGCGCCGUGAGCAAAGCUCCGCAAGGGGCGCUGGAAGAGGGGCCCGUGGCCGAUUAGCUGGUGGUGGGGUAACGGCCUACCAAGGCGACGAUCGGUAGCUGGUCUGAGAGGACGAUCAGCCACACUGGGAUUGAGAACGGCCCAGACUCCUACGGGGGCAGCAGUGAGGAAUUUUCCGCAAUGGACGCAAGUCUGACGGAGCAACGCCGCGUGCAGGAGGACGGUCUUCGGAUCGUAAACUGCUUUUCCC